rnacentral:lncRNA from 1 species
CAGACGGGUUGGAUCUUAGUAUAAGGUGGCAGCCGGUACAUUUCACACAAUGGACCUUGUAAAGUCAUUCAACUACACAAGCAGUCCUUCCAAGAUCCCAUCGUCUUCUUCCCUUCGCUCUUCUCCCUUCUGUACCUGUACACCGAGGAUUUGCAAGCUAGGGUUAGCGAUUUGCUUCAUCGCCUCUCUCUCCUCCACCUCCCCCUCUGCUGGGCCACUCUGACCUUCUCCCUACUGUAUUUUGUACCUAAUUCCAGCUCUGUACAAGCGCCCCCUCUCCCCUGAAACGACCGCGCCACCGACGAGCGCUUACAUGUAGCGCCGCCAUGCUGUAGGUCUGGGCAACAUUGACCCAGCCAUCGCAAAGCCGGCCAUCUUCUGCAGCUUAAAGUAUCCAGGGUAUGAUCUCUUAUUGAGUUAUCCAAAUAUUAUGUUUCCUCCCAUCUGUCAAUUUCCCCCAAUUGCAGCAAUGGUGUAGCAAACAGGCAAAUAGAUGUGCUCGUUGUUCCCAUACUUAAUUUGUAAACAAUUUUCAUAUCUCCUGCAGCCUAUAAAGUAAGAUUUGUGCAUGAAUGUUAUGACUUGUAUGUGAAAAAGCGAGUUAGCGUACAUGUCUGGAGUAGAAUAUACUUUGAAGUGUCUUAUUUUGAUUCACUUUGUUGAUCGUAAAAUGAAACUGCACUUUAAUGUCCAAUUGAACUUUCUGAAUUCAUUACUAGUUCUUCUUAUUCAUGCCUUUUUUCUUUGUUGCAAUCCACAUUCAAACAAUUCUUUAAAAUAACAAUACUGAUCUAGCGUACAUGCCUGGAAUCAUCUCACAAAUUUUUGAUACAUGUAAUUGUAGUACAUGUGAAUUUUACUUGUAGAUGUACUCUGACCGACCUGUGCCUAUGGCUAUCGCUAUUUUUGUUCAACUGUUUCUGAACUAAGUCCGAUGCUCGCAACCGAGAAAUCACACUUUCAGGUUUCAUUCUAAUAAAUGAAAGCAAGGGGUGUAUCCCUUUUCUCUACAAGAAAAUAUGAUUCUUCACUUGAUUUAUAACAAUUUCAGGUUAGUUGUAGUCCCCUUCUUUUAAUUUUUUCUGUACCUCAUGUACUUGCAGGAAUGAAGAGCAGACAUUAAGGUCAAGAUCUGGAACAAGAAUAUAUUUUGUAAUGGCAGCAAGUAAGAAUAUAUUUUUUACAAUCAACACUCACCAAUGGUUUUAGGAGUAAGAGCCAUGAUCUGGUACACAAAUCUUAAGCAGUGUCACUGAAAUGGUCUUUAGCAUAAAGUUUAUUCUUACCCAAUCAGAUAAUUUGGUUGACCUCUCAUAUGGAUAUGCUUCUAAAAAUAGAUGAUGUUCCUAUUUUUUCAGGUACUGUCUGGAUGUUCAGCUGCAAGCUCAUUUAUAGUUACUUUGUCUCUUCUAGCCAGCCAAGAUAUCUCUGUCAGAUGAUGAGGGGAGCUGCUAAUUCAGGAUAUAUUGGCAUCUGAAACGUAAUGUAUCUCUUGUAGUAAAGUUAUUGACAACAGAACAUGGUGGACCUUCUGUUCAAGAGUUGUGUAGAACAAGCUAUCCUUAUGAAAUAUGUGCGUCAUAUAUAUGUACACAAUGAGUGAAUCCGACUGUGUAUACGACAGUGGUGUACAAGAAAUUUAAAUAUGGUACUGUCAAGUUUUCUACGAGACAAUUGUAGCCUGGAUGAAAUUACUUUAGUGCAUCUUGAAGCCUUAGUGCAACUUCUCCAGUGAUUAUGACACUUGAUAUGUAAUUAUUAACACUGUCAUACAAACACACCUCUUAAUUUUGUCAUAUAAAUAAGCAUAUUUGGAU